rnacentral:rRNA from 1 species
GUACACGCUGUGACUAGCAUAUCAAUAAGCGGAGGAAAAGAAACUAACAAGGAUUCCCCUAGUAACGGCGAGUGAAGCGGGAAGAGCUCAAAUUUGAAAUCUUAAAGGGUUUCCCUUUACGAAUUGUAGUUUAAAGAAGUGUUUUCUGUUGAGGUUUUGGUAAAAGUUCUUUGGAAUAGGACAUCAUAGAGGGUGAGAAUCCCGUAUUUGACCUUUACUUUCAACUUUGUGAUACACUUUCAAAGAGUCGGAUUGUUUGGGAAUGCAGUCCAAAAUGGGUGGUAAAUUUCAUCUAAAGCUAAAUAUUGGCGAGAGACCGAUAGCGAACAAGUACCGUGAGGGAAAGAUGAAAAGAACUUUGAAAAGAGAGUUAAACAGUACGUGAAAUUGUCAAAAGGGAAGCGUUUGACACCAGUGUUGUUUUUCUGAAAAUCAAUUAAAGAACUGUUUAUGCUAAGUUGUUUAGACUUUAUCAGCUAACUGUUUAGUUUUGAGCUUUUCUUUAAUGCACUUUUCAGUUAACAAGUCAACAUCAAUUUCUUUUGCUGUAAAAAAGCUUGAGGAAGGUGGCUUGAGAUUCGUCUUAAGUGUUUAUAGCCUCUUGCCUAUGCAGUCGGAGAGAUUGAGGUCUGCAGCGUAGAUCCUUCGGGGCUAAAUGCAUUUGUGCUAAGUUAUAGCAUUUCAUAGACAACUUGUUGACUAUGAUUUGUCUUGUAGCUUACUCGCUUAUGUUAUUUUACCUACGCUUAGGAUGUUGAGUCGUAGAGCACGCAG